AUACGGAGGAUGCGAGCGUUAUCCGGAUUUAUUGGGUUUAAAGGGUGCGCAGGCGGCGAGGCAAGUCAGCGGUCAAACUGCGGGGCUCAACCCCGUACCGCCGUUGAAACUGUCUGGCUCGAGUGCGUGCGAUGUGGGCGGAAUGCGCGGUGGUGCGGGUGAAUGCAUAGAUAUCGGGCAGAACUCCGAUUGCGAAGGCAGCCUCCAAGCACGCCACUGACGCUCAUGCACGAAAGCGUGGGUAUCGAACAGGAUUAGAUACCCUGGUAGUCCACGCGGUAAACGAUGAUAACUAGUUAUCCGGGCAGAUUGAUGCUUGGGUGACCGAGCGAAAGCGUUAAGUUAUCCACCUGGGGAGUACGCCGGCAACGGUGAAACUUAAAGGAAUUGACGGGG
rnacentral:rRNA from 1 species